rnacentral:misc_RNA from 1 species
UGGUUCUGGCAUCGAUGAAGAACGCAGCGAAAUGCGAUAAGUAAUGUGAAUUGCAGAAUUCAGUGAAUCAUCGAAUCUUUGAACGCACAUUGCGCCCUGUGGUAUUCCGCAGGGCAUGCCUGUUCGAGCGUCAUUUAACCACUCACGCCUAGCGUGGUAUUGGCGCACGCGGUCUCCGCGGCCCUCAAAAUUAGUGGCGGCGCCGGUGGGCUCUAAGCGUAGUACAUACUCCCGCUAUAGAGUUCCCCCGGUGGCUCGCCAGAACCCCCAAUUUUUACAGGUUGACCUCGGAUCAGGUAGGGAUACCCGCUGA